rnacentral:snRNA from 1 species
GUGCUCGCUUCAGCAGCAUAUAUACUAAAAUUGGAAUGUAAGAGAGUAGCAUGGCCCCUGUGCAAGGAUGACACUCAAAUUCAUGAUGUGUUCCAUAUAAAA